rnacentral:rRNA from 1 species
UACAGAGGGGGCAAGCGUUGUUCGGAAUUACUGGGCGUAAAGGGCGCGUAGGCGGCCUUCUAAGUCGAACGUGAAAUCCCUGGGCUCAACCCAGGAACUGCGUCCGAUACUGGAAGGCUUGAAUCCGGGAGAGGGAUGCGGAAUUCCAGGUGUAGCGGUGAAAUGCGUAGAUAUCUGGAGGAACACCGGUGGCGAAGGCGGCAUCCUGGACCGGCAUUGACGCUGAGGCGCGAAAGCCAGGGGGGCAAACGGG